ACUUGGAGGUUGUGGCCUUGAGCCGUGGCUUUCGGAGCUAACGCGUUAAGUAGACCGCCUGGGGAGUACGGUCGCAAGAUUAAAACUCAAAUGAAUUGACGGGGGCCCGCACAAGCGGUGGAGCAUGUGGUUUAAUUCGAUGCAACGCGAAGAACCUUACCUACUCUUGACAUCCAGAGAACUUUCCAGAGAUGGAUUGGUGCCUUCGGGAACUCUGAGACAGGUGCUGCAUGGCUGUCGUCAGCUCGUGUUGUGAAAUGUUGGGUUAAGUCCCGCAACGAGCGCAACCCUUAUCCUUGUUUGCCAGCGAGUAAUGUCGGGAACUCCAGGGAGACUGCCGGUGAUAAACCGGAGGAAGGUGGGGACGACGUCAAGUCAUCAUGGCCCUUACGAGUAGGGCUACACACGUGCUACAAUGGCGCAUACAGAGGGCAGCCAACUUGCGAUAGUGAGCGAAUCCCAAAAAGUGCGUCGUAGUCCGGAUUGGAGUCUGCAACUCGACUCCAUGAAGUCGGAAUCGCUAGUAAUCGUGGAUCAGAAUGCCACGGUGAAUACGUUCCCGGGCCUUGUACACACCGCCCGUCACACCAUGGGAGUGGGCUGCAAAAGAAGUAGGUAGUUUAACCUUCGGGGAGGACGCUUACCACUUUGUGGUUCAUGACUGGGGUGAAGUCGUAACAAGGUAGCGCUAGGGGAACCUGGCGCUG
rnacentral:rRNA from 1 species